UACGGGGGGAGCAAGCGUUGUUCGGAUUUACUGGGCGUAAAGGGCGCGUAGGCGGCCACCGCAAGUCGACUGUGAAAUCUCCGGGCUUAACCCGGAAAGGUCAGCCGAUACUGCGGGGCUAGAGUGCAGAAGGGGCAACUGGAAUUCUCGGUGUAGCGGUGAAAAGCGUAGAUAUCGAGAGGAACACCUGCGGCGAAGGCGGGUUGCUGGGCUGACACUGACGCUGAUGUGCGAAAGCUAGGGGAGCGAACGGG
rnacentral:rRNA from 1 species